rnacentral:rRNA from 1 species
UCGAGCGGAUGAAGUGAGCUUGCUCACGGAAUCAGCGGCGGACGGGUGAGUAAUGCCUAGGAAUCUGCCUGGUAGUGGGGGACAACGUUUCGAAAGGAACGCUAAUACCGCAUACGUCCUACGGGAGAAAGCAGGGGACCUUCGGGCCUUGCGCUAUCAGAUGAGCCUAGGUCGGAUUAGCUAGUUGGUGAGGUAAUGGCUCACCAAGGCUACGAUCCGUAACUGGUCUGAGAGGAUGAUCAGUCACACUGGAACUGAGACACGGUCCAGACUCCUACGGGAGGCAGCAGUGGGGAAUAUUGGACAAUGGGCGAAAGCCUGAUCCAGCCAUGCCGCGUGUGUGAAGAAGGUCUUCGGAUUGUAAAGCACUUUAAGUUGGGAGGAAGGGUUGUAGAUUAAUACUCUGCAAUUUUGACGUUACCGACAGAAUAAGCACCGGCUAACUCUGUGCCAGCAGCCGCGGUAAUACAGAGGGUGCAAGCGUUAAUCGGAAUUACUGGGCGUAAAGCGCGCGUAGGUGGUUCGUUAAGUUGGAUGUGAAAUCCCCGGGCUCAACCUGGGAACUGCAUCCAAAACUGGCGAGCUAGAGUAUGGUAGAGGGUGGUGGAAUUUCCUGUGUAGCGGUGAAAUGCGUAGAUAUAGGAAGGAACACCAGUGGCGAAGGCGACCACCUGGACUGAUACUGACACUGAGGUGCGAAAGCGUGGGGAGCAAACAGGAUUAGAUACCCUGGUAGUCCACGCCGUAAACGAUGUCAACUAGCCGUUGGGAGCCUUGAGCUCUUAGUGGCGCAGCUAACGCAUUAAGCGAACGCUUAGGGACGCGCCAGGAAAC